GGCGGCCUUCGGGACAGAGGAGACAGGUGGUGCAUGGUUGUCGUCAGCUCGUGUCGUGAGAUGUUGGGUUAAGUCCCGCAACGAGCGCAACCCUUGAUCUUAGUUGCCAGCACUUUGGGUGGGCACUCUAAGGUGACUGCCGGUGACAAACCGGAGGAAGGUGGGGAUGACGUCAAAUCAUCAUGCCCCUUAUGACUUGGGCUACACACGUACUACAAUGGCUGGUACAACGGGAAGCGAAGCCGCGAGGUGGAGCCAAUCCUAAAAAGCCAGUCUCAGUUCGGAUUGCAGGCUGCAACUCGCCUGCAUGAAGUCGGAAUUGCUAGUAAUCGCGGAUCAGCAUGCCGCGGUGAAUACGUUCCCGGGUCUUGUACACACCGCCCGUCACACCACGAGAGUUUACAACACCCGAAGUCGGUGGGGUAACCCUUACGGGAGCCAGCCGCCGAAGGUGGGGUAGAUGAUUGGGGUGAAGUCGUAACAAGGUAGCCGUAUCGGAAGGUGCGGCUGGAUCACCUCCUUU
rnacentral:rRNA from 1 species